GUCCAGGGUAGCCUAGUGGUCAUGGCAUCUGCCCAGUAAGCGGAAGGUCAUGGGUUCGAUUCCCAUCCCUUGACA
rnacentral:tRNA from 1 species